UUUAGUUUUUCUGAGAUAUCUAUCCAUAACACAAUGGUUUGAGGAUCUGGAUCAUGUAGUGUCAAAUAAUCCAAAUUUAGAGACACUUAUUGUUUCUGGUAAUGGAGCACCAAUAGUCCAUUUGCCAUCUAGUAUUUGGAAGCCACCAAACUUAAGGCAUCUCGAACUUGGCAAUUCAUAUAUGGUAGAUCCUCCAAGUGCAGAUAAAAAGAAUUUACAAACAUUAUCUUGGGUGGUGAGACCAAUUCAUUGCAGACAAAAGGUGUACAACAAGUUCCCUAACAUAAAAAAGCUGAAAAUAUUAUUGAAGGAUGACAUAGAGCCACCUAGUCACAUUGGAGGAUGUUGCAGCAAUCCUAUUAUUUUGGAUCAUUAUUUUAAAUGUUUGGAAGGGCUUGAGAAGCUUAGCAUUUCGGUUUCCAUUGGUUGUAAUGCAGCCCUUCCACAACAGUGUAUGUAUCCUUCAGGACUGAAGAAGUUGAAGUUGAGUGGAACUAAUGUUUGUAAGGGGGAUUUACAUGUAAUUGCGAAGUUACCCCAACUUAAGGUGCUCAAGUUGGAAAAUGCCUUCCAUGGAACAGUAUGGAACUCACUAUCUAAAAGAGGAUUUCCUGUACUAAUAUUCUUUCUCCUUGAAGCUAAAGAACUCAAGCAGUGGGUAGUUGGCCAGAAGCACUUUCCAAUGCUCAGACACUUAGUCUUAAAAUCAUGUAAUUGUUUGGAACAGAUCCCCAUGCGUUUUGCAGAAAUUUACACCCUAAAGUCAAUUGAGUUGGAGGAGUGUAACUCUUCCCUUGACGCUUCUGCCAAGCAGUUAAAACAAAAAUGAAGAUCCAAGGAUGUUCAGAUCAAAAUCAUUGGUCCCGAAUAUGAUGACUCACAUAAUACACAUACAGAAUUGUCUAUGUAAGAUGACAUGGACGGCCAGCCUCAUAGUAAAUAACUGUUGAAAAACGAUCGAGUAUCCAGAAGUUGCUCUUGAAAGAUGGGCUCAAGAGCUUUGUGUUAAAUAGACCGUGGAUAACUUUUUAUUAGCAAACAUUAUAUUGUGAAGGAGAAGAAUUGAAGAUGUA